GAGCAGUGUUUAUAGACCUAAAAGCACGAUAUCUCCCACAAUCCACUUACUGUCUCUAACUAGCCAUAAUGUGACUAACCAGUAGUGACUGUCCUCAUGGCCCUUCACUAACUUUAUACAGAUGCAUCCAAUGAUUUUAACUAUCUUUAAAAUAUGAUGCUCACUGAAAAAGAAUAAAUUUGGAUAUUCUUUCCUAAGAAGAGAUGAGUAUUACAAGUAAGGCAGGAAGAAAAGUAGUUAGAAGACUGUUUCCAAAUAAGUAAAUAACAACAAAUUCCCCUUGGGCUGCUGUAAAGAAUUUUAAUUCACUGUUGUGAAGUGGAAGACCUUUGUAUUUCCUCUGAAACUCUGGCAGAAAUGACUGAACAUGAGUAGUGAUGGCUUUCAUAUUAUGAAAUGAUAGCCGUUUUCUCCUACAAAUUUGUCAUUCUUUGCUGUGAACUUUGUCAGACCCUUGAAAAAGAUCUGCCACCAUGAGCUAGAAGAACUACUUUCACAGUAGUCCAUCCACAUAAUUAAGCCGUUUUGUCGCGGUUGUGGUGGUAGUUGUAGUUGUGGUUGGGCAGAAUGCUUGUUGUGACCUUGGGGGAUGGGCCUCUCACCCAUUCAGAUCUAUGCCAUUUUAAGUAGUCACUUGAUUUCUGUGUCUGAUGUUUGAUGGAGCUGCACCUGUUCCUACCUACCUGUUUUCCUGAGAAAGAUAGAUAUUCUAAGGGACACAACUUCGAAGUCUUAGAAGACACAUCUAACUGACAAUCUUCAAGCAAGUAAAGGCAUCAUGGAUUGGAAAUGACAGCAGCAGGCCAGCAGAUAAAUGAAACUGCGACAGUAAUAUCGGCCUUCCAGGCCCGGAAACAGAAGACCUGGGAUCAACCAAGUCCUCACUGUGGCAACACAGAGGUUCUGAGAGUGCUCGGCCAGGAAGAUCAAAGCACUCAUAUUCUAUGGGAAGAGACUCCAUUGUUCAUCACCAGAGAAACCCAGUUAACUAAGAGUUAACCACUUCAGUUUUGAUCUUCUACUUGUGUCUAUGCAGCAGAGAACCUGGGUAUGCAUGUAAAUCAUCGCUUGUUGCUCUAAUACAGUACUGUUCUUUCAGCCUGAAAAGAUUAGUGGUGUGGAAGAGGAAACACUGCAAGUUUUGUAGGAUAGCAGCCUGUUUUAGUUGGUGUGCAAGGCCAGAACAAGCACAAGCACAUCGCUUGUCAACAGUAUCCGAAAAAUCACAUCACCACUAGUCCUAAAAGAGUCACCGCUGUCUCAUCAUUUUCAUAUAAAAGGACAGACUCUUCAGGGGCAUGUGGUAGCUUACUACAAAUGAUGACAGAAACGCCCACCUUGAAAUCAGGGUAUCAUAUCUGAUGAAGACUAUAAGAGAACAGCAGCUGAAUGUAGCUGUGGGACACCCCAGACACCACGCAGGCCUGUCAGGACUCAGCACUUCGGAGGGGCUGGGCAGCAGCUGUGGUUGAUGUCAUUCACAUGCGGCAGGCCUGCCGCCAGAGGAGGAGGCAGCUCCAUGCUCCCGUGAACUCACUAUCCCGUGCGGAAAAUCUGUACUAUUGCUUUGCCUAUUACCCCAACCAAAGUGAAUUAGGCAAUUGUCAUUCUCUCCUCAACACACAGCAAAUGUAAGAAAAGACAGAAAAAAUUAUUCACAUGGAAAGAAUUUAUGAACUAUAGUUGCUUUUUUCUCUUUCCCUUAUCACUGGUCAUUCUCACCACUCAUGGCUUUGAAAAUUAAGCCCUUAGCAAUGCGCAGUGACUGAACCUGGUGGUGCUUUGAGGAAACAGACAUCUGACCUGAUCGUCCAUCUUCGGACACUAUAUAAUACACCCCCACAGCUUAUCAACAUUUCAAAGUACAAAAGGUUAAGAAAUUCCUAUUAAAAUGCAUCCAAUAUCAUUAAGGAAGACAAUGGUGAACUUGUAUCUCUCUGGGUUUCUGAUGUGUUUGUGAAUAUGACAUAAAUUCACCAGACUUUCAACUGCUGAUGUUUCUACCCUUUGAAACACACAGUGACAUUACCUGUUAAUAAUAUGGGAGUAUUUUGCUCUUCGUGUUUCUUUUUCCUGUACUAUUUAACUUUAGGAAGUAUUCUAAAAAAUAUUCAAGGUUUCUAUUCAGCUACUUGGUCUUAUGUUCUUUCUCCCUUAACUUCAUGUCCUCUUAUUUUGUAAAUUAAACUUAUUAGGGUGAUGUUGGUUCAUAAAAUGAUGUAAGCCUCAAGUGCACAAUUCUAUGAUAUAUCAACUGUAUAUUGCAUUGUGCGUCCCCCACCCAAAGUCAAAUCUUCGUCCAUCACUAUAUAUUAGACCCUCUACUAUCCCUCACCCUCCCUUCCCUCUGAUAACCACCAUACUGUUGUCUGUGUCUAUGAGUUUUUGUCUUGUUUGUUCAUUUGUCACUUUCAGUUUUGUAUCCCACAUAUGAGUGAAAACAUAUGGUUCUUGACUUUUUCUGUCUGACUUCUUUCUUUUAGCAUGAUAUUCUAAAGAUCCACCUAUGUUGUUGCAAAUGGUAGUAAUUCAUCUUUUCUUUUCAUCUUUUCUGGGUGAGUAGAUAUAAGAUCUCUCAGGCAAAUUGAAUUACUCUCUGCAAAGGCAUUAUGACAUUUAUAAUCCCAGUGUUUUUUGGAGACAUACUGGCUCAUUUUGCAUUACCCAUGCACUGGACUUAUAUCUAAAGAGCUACUACUAUGUCUAAGCACUAUUUAAUCAGCAUGUACUUAUUUUUAAAAACUAUUUAGAAAAAUACUUGAGUUUAUUAGAAACUACAGAACUGGUUUUCUUUCAAACUUAAAAUUAUAUAUAGUUAUUUUUCAUUGCAUAAGCAUAAAAUCCUUUGUGGGAACCUAAUUUCCAUGGAAUGUUUUCAGGAUGAUUUAGCUAAGUGUGUGUGUAAGAGAGAGAGAGAGAGAGAAAGAGAGAUAAGUCUGAAAUAAACUCACAUUGGAAAUGGCAGUAUAAUGUCAGGUGAGUGAACAUAGUUAUGAUCUCCCCAAUUCGGUUUCUCAUCUAAAAAGUGAAGAUAAUAAUAGCUCCUCCCUCAUCGCACCCACUUCAGGUAUUCUACAGAUGAGUUAGGGGGGCAAGGGCUCAGUUACACAGACCCUCACCCAAUAAUGAGCCCUCAGUUAGGGCUCAGUUACACAGACCCUCACCCAAUAAUGAGAAAGUUUCAGUGCUAAGGAGAACUGAAAAAAGUAAGGGAGGAAAAAGGAAGAAGAACCUGAACUGUUUUUUGAAGUACUUGCAGUCAGAAGAGAAAAGUGCUGUGGCUGGGAUAAUAUAUUUGAAAUAUUAAUGGAUGCAUCUUCUUACCCAGGAGUUUGUGUUUCCUACUCUACCGCUGGAUCCACCCACCACAUUUCUUUCUCCCAGGAGAGAAUAAAUACAACAGAGAACCAUAAUGUCACCCCUCAACUCUGAUACUCAAAUCUAGCUUUUUCAAAACUUUAUUUAUUUUAUUGUUUACCCUUUUACAGAUGCCCCCAUUAUUUUCUCUCUGUUCCCUCUGGCCAUCCCCACACCGUUGUCCAUGUCCACGGCUUAUGCAUGUAUGUUUUUGGCUAAUCCCUCCACCUUCUAUCAUCUAGUCUCCCCCUCUCUCCUUCCCUCUGACAGCUGUCAGUCUGUUCUGGGUAUCAGGUCCUCUGUUUCUAUUUUGUUUGGCAGUUUAUUUUGUUCAUUACAUUCCACAUAUAAGUGAGACAUAUGGUAUUUGUCUUUCACUGACUAGCUUAUUUCACUUAGAAUUGAGACAGCAUUCUGGAAAUCGAGGCUUUCGGGUAUUAUUGUGAGGAAAUGGAUUAGUAAGUUUCAAUGAGGCAAAACUUAAAUGACUCAGCGCCAUAUUUUUGGUAUAAAACUCAGAGCAGAGAGAAAAACAUGAGGUUUUCUCAACACGAAAAGUUUGAUAAAGCCUUUAAUGGGAGGCGGGAAGAAGGAGUCAGGUGAGAGCCUUACAGAGGCUGAGCACAUUGUAGCCUCCUGACAUGGGUGGAUGCCUAACUCACUCUCUACCUACCCACCCACCCCACUAUGAUUAACACCCCAGAAUGGAAAAGCAAUGAAAACACCCAGAGCAGAAUGCAAAUGCUUUGUUUUCAAAGCACAGCCAGGGAACACCACCAGCUCUUAGGCACUCCUGUAUUCAGCGUGGCAGUGAAGCAUCAGGAUACACAAGCCACCGCCAUGCCUGGGGGAGGCUCCAGACAAACAAGCCACAGGAAGCCACAGAGUUCACUUUCUACACAGAAAGCAGCCAUGAGUUCUUGAGCAUGCUCAAAGGGAAACCAGAGAAGUGCUAGGAGGGCCUGUGGCUGAGAGCACCAGAGUCAGGGCACAGGAUGUAGAGUCUGCACCUCUAGACCAGCAGCUUGGCCAGGCUCUACUGUAUCAACACCAGAAGCUGCACGUGAGGCCCAAGGGCUAGAAUAGACCUGCUAUACUUCACCAGAAGCCAGCAGGAACCAGAGAAGACCCAAGAAAGAAGACUCUCCUCUCCCCAUGCCAGGAUAAACUCUAAGUCACACGGGAACUUACAUCACCUCUACAGAUAAUCAAAGAAGGAGCCAGAAGAAUAAUCUCAGGAUUUCAAUGAAUAAACUACAAGUAACUAAACCAAGUUGAAGCGGCACAAGUAAAUAUUCUCAGCCAGCUGAGCAAAUAGGGACUCAAGCUAAGUUAGGUUCAGUUAUGGACAAAUAAUCAUUUCUGUAUACCUGAGUUGUAACUGUAAAGUUUUUAACCCACUCUACUGUCUCAUCAAUUAUAUAUUUCCAUGUAAAGCAGAUCCACGAGACUUCUUGGAAACUUACUGCCUAUUUCUUCUAAGACAGUUUCCAGUUAGCAAAAGCAUGUACUCAAUGCUGUGUUCAGAGGUCAAUAAUGGCCGCAGUGGGACAGCCCUAGAAAUGUACAAAUCCAACCCAGAGCAAUAGAUACUAAUGGCUUUUGGUAGUUGUCACACGUGCGAACAGCCAUUUAUCUUUCCAAAGUGAGUCUGCAUUAAUCAGAAGAAAGAUGAAGUGAUGAUGCAAGGCCCCUCCUCCUUCCAAGGUGCCCUUCGUGCCUUUCACAACACAAGUGAAGGGAAACACCUAAGAGAAUGGCACAUCCAUCAGCUGCUGCAGGACUGGCUGUGCACCUGAGCAACAUGUGCCUCUGCAGGCAGCUCUUCCACAGAAGCAUUUUUACCAUUGAAACCUUGCUCAUUUCCCCACAGUGAGUUCUAAUGCUUCUUUUAAGAAGCUGUAUGAUAGCAGCAGCCAAAUGCUAACUCAUCUGAACAUGUGACAUGAACAUCCAACAUGGCUCUAUUAGUCACAAGGCACUUUGACUAAUCAAGGGGCAGCCAACAAAGGACAGAUGAAGACACUGCUUUGAUUCAACAGGUCACUGUCUGAUUAAACUGUGCAGAGGGACUUGUGGCAGUUGGUUUCCCUAUUUCCCAAUGGCUUUCCUUUGAAGAAGAAGAGGAGCAAAAGAUCGUUUUUGAUUACUCUGAAAUGAACUUAUUCCCUGGGGUUUAUUAAUGAGCCUUUGACUGAUCUCCCUUGCUAGACCACUGUCGGGUGCAUGAUUCCUCAGGGGCCUUCCAGAAAUAAAUACAGAGACCAUCCAAGAAAGCCCCUGACUUGCAAAUCUAAGAAAUACUCAAAGCGAUGUCUUUCUAGAAAAUAAGUGAAUUUUUACUGUUUUGGAAAGCCAGAUACAUAGCCUGUGACCACUGUUUCUAACCCUGAGUCUAGACGUGCACAGUUUCAAUUGGAGGGUGUACAUCUUUGGAGUCUCAUCUUCGUGCAGGUGGUAACUGAGAACACAGACUCAGGACCCUGACUGCCUGGUUCAGAAACUGGUUCCACCACUUACUAAGUGCGUGCACUGGAGAAAAUUGCCUACUUUCCUCCCCUGUGCCUGAGUUUUCUAUCUGUGUAAUUGGAAACAUGGCACUGCCUGUCUCACAGGGUUACAGUGCAAAUCAAAUGAGUGAUUUUUAGAUAGACUGUUUACAACUGGAUCUGGCAUAUAAGGGCCACAGAAGUGUUGGCCACCCUAUCAAUUGUUGUUAUUUUUGCAAUCGCAAGACACUCUGCUCGUUAAGUUCCCAGUUUUCUGAUCCUCUGACCUAAAAAGCGUUCAGAAACCAAACCCCUUUUAGUCCUUAGGGUCUUCUCUAAGUCAGUAAGACUCCAGCGAUUUGAGAUUGUGCAGGGCCAAUGAUGGAAGACUCUGCCCAGCACCACUCCCUGUCCCUAGAGGUCAUGCCACUCGCCAGGAAAAUCCUACACCUGGAAAGUUACUUUCUUCCCUUCUCAGCCCUGCUUUUCCCUACCUUUCUUAAAUUAACUUCAUGGGUCACUCACUCUCACUUCAGCUUGAUAAUAACUGAGAUUAGUUUUUGCAGGAUUAUCUUCUUAAAGACUUGAUUAACCAGAUAAACUCAGUCAACCACAAAGAGUGUGAUCUUUAAGGCUGAGUACUGUAUCAUAUCCAAAAAAAAAAUCUUUUCCAUUUGGACUGUGAGUCAGGCUUGUAGUCUGGUUAAUAGAACUGAUUACCAAGUAUAAGGUACCAUGAAUAGGAACUGUUUUAUUAGCACUAAACUCACUGGUAAGUACAUAUUUUUAUUUAGAAAUAGCUAUGUCCUAAACCAUAGUUUUAAUAAAUAACUUCAAAGUAACCUUAAUAGAAUUCUAAGCAUCAAAAUAUAUACCACUACAUAAAAAUCUAAAGCAUCUGGUUAUCUUUUUGACCUAGCAAACUUUGAAUUAAAAAGCCAGACAACUAUUAGCUAUUGCUUCUGCACAAGUCACCUUUCUGGUAACCACCCUAUUCCUAACAGGAAAUAGAGUAAAGACAGAAGACCAACAUCUACUUUAGUAUUAUAUAAACUAUUUCAAAACAAGAAGGUAAUUUAGAAGUUAGGGCUGCUAAGUAGAAAGCCUUCAUCUGGUUUUUUAUCAGGUUCUCUCUACACUGUUAAGAAUAAUUUUUAAUCUAACACUUUCCAAGGAACACAUUCCCCCUUUCAAAUGACUCUAGGGUCAAACACUAAUUAACCUUUUCUCUUUAAAUUUGGUAAUGAUACAGACCUUGUUGUCUUGUUUUAAAGUUUAAAGCAGUCUUAUAACCCUCCAAAAUUAAUUACACAUUUUCCAAAACACCUCACAGUUCUUUCUGAUCCGGUUGAAACUAAUAAAAUGCUUAAACUUUCACCUAAGAGACCCUAAAUGAAAACUGUGAUGCAGAAAUAUAGUUUUAAUCAGAGACCUAACUAAAUAAGACUACCCUCAAAAUGUGGAUUUUCAGAGUUAACAAAACCCUGCACCCUAGGAAGAGAGCAUCACCUGAACCAAUCAGAAAGUCUUGCUCUGCUCACUGAUUUUCAGGCCUCAGGCUACUAAUGAGUAUACAUCUUUCCUUUAAUUAAAUAGUAGACGUUAUAUGCAGAGUCUCCAUCUCAUGCAGCCUAGAAAGCCAUGUGCUGCACAGAGGAACAGAAAAAUUGGGUUAUAACAACACAUUUGUGAUUAAACUUUAACAUUCAGGACACAAUGCACCAUGGCUAGAGUUUUACCUCAUAGCAAGGUCAAAUUAGAAUCUUGUUCUCCCAAUCUUUUUGGUAGUGGAUUAUAAACAAUUUAAGCAAACCAUCUGUUCAAAGAGCAUGCUGCUAUAAACUCCUCCCCAUAAACAGCCUUUUUUCCCCCUGUAGCUCAAAAUUACCAGAAAUUCUCUAAUCUUUUUUGUCUUUUCUCAUUCAUUAGGCCAAGUAAAACAGCUUGGAGGCAUAACCUCCUCAAAUUCGAACAAAUACUUAAAUGCAAAGCUUUGGAUUGGAUUGCCUUAUUAAAAUGUUCCCAGUUGAUUACUUUUAUUGUUCACUCUUUUGGUAGGCAUGGAAUGAUAAGUACCAAAGACAUAGAAAGCCUAAAAUAACUGGUAAAUCAGUGGACAAUUGAGAGACUAUUACACAACACUAAACAGAAGCCAUGGGAGUUAAUGGCUGGCACAAGAGUUCUGUCUAAAAUUACAAACUGAACAUAAAACUAUUUGUUCUGCAGAGUUCCAACAUUUUUUCCCUGCCUUUGCCCACUGUGGCUAAAAUUAAUUCCCUGGGGCUUUUCAGCCCAAGGUCAUGAUCUUCCAACUUGCAUGCAAGUCGUUCCUUCUGUCAUCAUUUCCCUGUAUCGAAAGCCAGGAAUUAUAAGUCAGGUCCUGGGGAGUUUUCAAGCCUUGUGGUUUUAUUCAACGGGUGACAUGGCAAGAGUUUUCAGGAUCUUAUUACUGACUUUCUCAAAAAUCCAUAUGUAAGACUUAACCAAGACUAAAGAGCCAAAUCGCAUUCACUCUCUCAUAAACAUUUUCCUGAUAGUAAUUAAGACAGUUGUGCUCCAAGCUUAUUGUGCAGGGAAUAAUUGUUAAAAUGCAGGUUCUUGGGACAUGCACCAGAUCCCCUGAGACUGAACUGUUAUACUUGGAACUGGGGAGCUACAUUUUUAACAAGCACCUCAGCUAAUUCUGAAGUAGCUGGUUGUCAGCUACGUACACACAAGAACUAGAUAAUGAAUGGAGUCUGGGGUAAAAACCAACAGGCAGUACAUUUGUGAUAGCUCAUGAAGAUUCUAGAACUUGAAUUCUAGAUUCGUAACUGCUGAUUUUACCAUUACCAUUCACGACUACUCCCUUAGGUUAAGUUGCAUAAUCUUCCUCAGCCUGAUUCCUCACCUGAAGAAUGAAAGUACUAAUGUAAUACUUUCCUCAUUGCACUAUUAUAAUAAGGAUGAGUUUACAGCAUCAAAAUCACUGAGUAAAAGAUAGCUACCCUGAAUCUGUUGCCCUGCGGUUGAACACACCUCUGAGCAGGCCAGACCAAAAAAAAAUUCUUUGUUUCAGUAACUGUCGCAUUUAUCCUUAUGUCUUUCAUGUGUGUGCCAAGGAAAACUGUCUUUAAAUGGGUGGGAGGAGUGGUCAAAAAUGCAGAUUCCACAGUGUCACUUCCUGAAUUUAAAUGUUAAUUCCACCACUUAUUUAAGCAAAUGAAUUAACAUGCAUGCGUCUUGGUAUACUCCUCUUUAAUCAUAUAGUGAGUACCUACCUCAAGUAAAAUGGUUAACAGAACUCUAGGCAAUGAUCAAUUGUUUUGCUAUUAUUGCAACAUAGGAAAAAAGAUCUGAUGAAGAUGAGCAAACAACUUUAUUUUAUAGUUGAGAAUAGAAGAAAGAUGCCAAUUAUUUUAUUAAGUAUCAGUGACAUUUAGAAAAGCAAAUGUUUAACGUUUGCCACAGACAUGAUUCUAGAUCAGAAGAAACUAAUUCAUUUAAAGAGUUAAAAACUCUGCCGAUCAAAAAAAUUCAUUUUACUUAAUAACAUAACAGCUCAUUUUGUACAGGAACUUAAUAAUUUUGCCCAAGUUUUAGAUAAGUGACCUUAUGCUUUUAUGCAGGUCACUAAACUGCCUUCAGUAUCAACCUUCUUAUUGUGGAAAUAAUUACAAAGUGGUAACCCUUACCAAAAUAGAAUAGCAUUACACUUUUAAUAAAAGCUUACAGUCUAUAAGUUUUAAAAAUUAGAAGCUUAAAAUCACUGAAAUUCAUUAUAGAAAACUUGAAAUCCAUAACAAGAGAAGAUUUAGCUGGUGACAAGAUCUGAAAAUGUUUUUGAGUGAAAAUAUGUAGUAUUAUAUUGUGUGUGUAUCUCAAGUUGAAAUAGAAUAGAAUUGGACUCACAUGGAGCAAUGAAUGGGCAGUAAAAUGGGAAUAGAAUAAAUGCAGUUAAGAUGAAAUCAAAUAAAAUCUGUAUUUUAUCCACCCAUAUCUACCUCUACAAUGCUGUCUGUCACUUAUUAUCUGGGUGUCUAGCCUAGUUGCUACUUCUAAGUGAAGGAAGAC